AAUAAUAAGUUUAUUAACUUUGGUAUGAAGAGUUAAAUAGGUCAAAAAAUUAUAUCUAGGUAGUAAUUUAAUCGACUUUUUUUGAAGUAGCGAAAGAAUCCUGCUGUUACCGGUAAUAAUUUCCGGUGUCUUCAAUAACAACUUGGCCAUACUUACAACAGGGUUUCCAGCAGUUAUCUAAAAAGCAACUUCACUUUAAGCUUUAGCUGAGUUAAAAAAUUUAUCUGUAUAGGAUAUGCUCCUAAAUACAUUUUUCAGUCUAUAAUUUUCAGAAUUAAGUAACCUGUGGAUUCUAAUCCCAUUCAAGAACAUAGAAAUCUGGUGAAAAAAACAAGGUUUAUAAAUGAUUAUCAACUAAAUAUUUUCAUAAUUUUUGGUUAACACAAAUAAAUUGAGAAACCCUGAGACCUUCAAAAAUAUUACUAUGGCAUACGUUGUCCAAAUUAUAUAGCCUUA